GAUGAACGCUAGCGGCAGGCUUAACACAUGCAAGUCGAGGGGCAGCAUGAAGGUUAGCAAUAACUUUUGAUGGCGACCGGCGCAAGGGUGCGUAACGCGUGAGCAACUUGCCCGUUUCAGGGGGAUAACCGGUGGAAACGCCGACUAAUACCCCAUAGUAUUGGUUUGAGGCAUCUCUUACCAAUUAAAGAAUUUCGGAAACGGAUAGGCUCGCGUGACAUUAGCUAGAUGGCGGGGUAACGGCCCACCAUGGCGACGAUGUCUAGGGGUUCUGAGAGGAAGGUCCCCCACACUGGAACUGAGACACGGUCCAGACUCCUACGGGAGGCAGCAGUGAGGAAUAUUGGUCAAUGGUCGAGAGACUGAACCAGCCAUGCCGCGUGAAGGUCACGGCCCUAUGGGUCUUAAACUGCUUUUGAUGGGAGCAAUAAGCUUUACGCGUAGAGCGAUGANAGUACCAUACGAAUAAGCAUCGGCUAACUCCGUGCCAGCAG
rnacentral:rRNA from 1 species